GCGAGAGUAGCUCAGUUGGUAGAGCAUCAGCUUCCCAAGUUGAGGACCGCGGGUUCGAAUCCCGUUUCUCGCU
rnacentral:tRNA from 1 species